rnacentral:rRNA from 1 species
GUGCAAGGAGGUGAUCCACCCCCUAGAGUUUAAGCAUACGGAUUGCACCAUACCUUGAGUGCCUACCAAGUUGUCAAUAUCCUAUUAUC